GUAUAAGAUAAAUUAUAUUUAGUGAAAUAACUCAUAAAUUAUACAGAAGAGGUAAAUCACACAAGAAAAGCUUUGUGCAAGCUCAAUUGAGAAAACAUGCAAGAGAUUUCGAAUUUAAAAUCUCUAUUUAGAAAACCACCUACUCAACCAACUCAGUCACUUUUGCAGGUAAGCAAUUGCAGACACACGCAACCGUGUUCCAAAUCAUUUAAUUACUCUUAUUUUUCCUUUUAUAAGAAUUGUGUUUGCGAACUUGCAUAUAUCUUGAGCACUCAAACUACUGUCGAGCAAUACAUUUUCCUUGAAUAUAAACAUGAAAUUAGUAUGACUAGAAACAUUGUUAGGAAUGCGUGUAGGCUUAGGUGUUGCGGAAGCAGACCGGGUAGAAUGAGAUUAUUGCACAAUUACUAUCCAAAAUAAAAGCCGCUAAAAUAGUAAAAGAGGAAAAAUAAAAAGAACACUGAAUUUACGAGGUUCGGUAAAAAUGUUUUACCUACAUCCUCGGACACAACUGACCAAAUUUUAUUUCACUCCAAAGAUACAAGUGAAAUAUUACAAAAGAAAGAAUACUCAAAAUGCCUUAAGAAGGUAAGAAGACAAUUGUGA
rnacentral:lncRNA from 1 species